rnacentral:rRNA from 1 species
AAUCAACGCUGGCGGCGCGCCUAACACAUGCAAGUCGAGCGAGAAAGCAGGAGCAAUCUUGUGAGUAAAGCGGCGUACGGGUGAGUAACACGUGGAUCAUCUACCUCUUUGUGGGGAAUAACCCUGGGAAACCGGAGCUAAUACCGCAUAAGUCCGAGAGGAGAAAGCGUCUUUGUGAAAGCAAAGCCGCGCAGAGAGAGGAGUCCGCGGCCGAUUACGUUAGUUGGCAGGGUAAAAGCCUACCAAGACAAAGAUCGGUAGCCGGCCUGAGAGGGCACACGGCCACACUGGCACUGAAACACGGGCCAGACUCCUACGGGAGGCAGCAGUGGGGAAUCUUGCACAAUGGGGGCAACCCUGAUGCAGCGACGCCGCGUGAGCGAUGAAGCCCUUCGGGGUGGUAAAGCUCUUUCGGCAGGGAAGAUUAUGACGGUACCUGCAGAAG